CCUCGCUGAUGAGUAGCUUCUGACUUAAGUUCUUCUGAGAUUGCUGAAGCCAGAUGCCAUUCCUGAGAAGG